CUCUUCCGCCUCCGCCGCUGCCAUGACAGAAACAGUGGAGAGAAACAGGGGCGGCACAAAAGGAAGGGAGGCGAGAGGAGAGGCCGGCGGCGUGGCUCGCCGUUGUUCGCCGGCGGGCUGCCUCCGGCCGAAGGCUCCGCCGCCGCCGCCAGAAAGAAAGAGUCAAGGGGAGAAAGAUUAGGGUUUUAGCUAGGGUUUUCGGGCGGGGGUUUUUGACUCGGGCGAAACACGCGCUCGGCCGUCCGAUCUGAUCGGACGGCGGAGAUUGCUCUUGGAAGGGAGGCUGGGCGCGGGCCGGCUAGCGCGAGCUGGGCCUAGGGCCGAGUACUCGUGAGCUGCUGGGCCGUGGGCCGCGUGCGCGUGUGAAAGAGGCAGCAGGCUGUGGGAUGGGCUGCGCUGGCCGAAAAUGGCCUCAGGCCAGAGGAGAGUUGGCGGUCGGCCGCGUGGGCCGACGAGAACGGGCCGUUUUGGGCAAUUUUUUACAGAUGCAUUUAUUUUGCCGUAUAUGCUCAGUUUUUGUACAUUUUGGUAUAAUUUUUGUCCUAUUCAAACUGAACCGACGAGAUGUUUGUUUUAGGAAAUAGAAAAGUGCAAAUUAAUACUUCUGAAAAGUACAAAGUUAUAAUUUUUGUUCAUAGUCCGCUGCAAAUAGUUUAAAAGUAUUGUCUAAAUCAAAAGAACAUAAUUAAAAGUGUUUUAUGUUAAUUGUGAUCCUAUUAUUUUUUCUUGACCAACGUCAUUAAUAGCAUGAUCAUGAUUAAUGGUUAAAGUGUGCAUUUAAUUCUAUUUUCUGCCCAACGAUGAUAUAGAUUAAAUUGCACAAACAGUUGUAUGUAUCAAUUUUGACCAACGUUGGAUUAAUGCAUGCAAUUGUUGUUAUCUUCUCACGUCAUUGUCGUUUCAGGAGGGUACUACUUGAUGGGAUGCCUCAAGGACGUACCAACCCUCAGGGGUGACAACUACACUGAGUGGAGAAAGAAAGUGGACAUGGCCUUUGUUUGUGCCGAGAUGGACUGGGUGGUUGACACUCCACAGCCACCAAACCCUACAGAGCCAGUCAGGGAUGCAAAAGAUGAUGACGAUGCUUGGGAGAAAAAGAAGAGGAAGUAUGCUCCAUUGGAGAUGUCAUACACCCUCGAGAACAAAAAGUGGCUCACCGCCAAUAAAAAGUGCAUGGCUUUCAUAAAGAACACAAUUGAGCACGUUAUUGUGGGCUCAUUUGCAGCGUGUGCUUCCGUACGGGAGUAUCUUGAAAAGAUAAAGAGCCAGUUUACUGGUUCUUCAAAGACAUAUGCUACCCAGCUGCUGAAGCAGCUGGUGACAAAAAAGUACAUAGGAGGGGGACAUGGCAUAAGAGAGCAUAAUCUUAGGAUGAGCAACAUGGCUUCUAAGUUGAGCCCAUGGAUGCUGAUCUAGAGAUUAAGCCUGCAAUGUUUGUUCAUCUCAUUAUGGCUUCAUUGCCAAAAGAGUUUGUCACUUUUGUUGUCAACUACAAUAUCUAACCAGAGAAGUGGAAUAUUGAAAAGACUAUAGCCAUGUGUGUACAAGAGGAGGAUAGAAUUAAAUCCUCAUAUGGUGGUUCCCUGAACUAUGUGAGGAUAAUAAGAAAAAGAACUUCGCUCAAGGCAAUCAAAGUUCUCCUUCAAAGCCACAUGGUAAAGCUCCCAUGCAACAUCAGCAAUAGCAAAAGACUCUUCCAGUGGACAAAGACACAUGCUUCCACUGCAAGAAGACCGGGCAUUACAAAAAAAAUUGCCCGGAAUGGCUAAAGUCAAUCAUGGCAAAGAAUGGUAUAAACUUCAUUUCCUUUGUAAAUGAAUCCCUGUAUACACAGUUUUCAAAAUCUACUUGGUGGAUUGACUCUGGUGCUACUGUUAAUGUUGCAAAUUCUUUACAGGGAUUCCGUUCGACGCGGACUACGCGAAGAAACGAAAUAUGCAUUGAAGUUACAAAUGGAGUCCAAGCGGACGUAGAGGCUGUCGGCGACAUCUCCUUGGAGCUUCCCGAUGGAUUUACGAUCCAGCUUAGAGAUGUGUUUUAUAUUCCUACAUUACACAGAAACUUGAUUAGUGUAUCACGUUUGGACAAAGUUGAUUAUGAAUGUCAUUUUGGACAUGGCAAGUGUGCCAUAUGGUUUAAUAAUAAUUGUGUGGGUGUUGCCUUCCUUCACAAUGAACUUUAUUUAUUAUCCAUACAUGAAAAAGUACAUUCUGUGUGUAAAGUGAAUGAAAUGUUGCCGCGUUGGAGAAAGUACAAAAGAAAAAAAAGAGGACUAAUGAAUCAUCGAAAUUAUGGCACUGUCGUUUAGGCCAUAUUUCGAGGGGGAGAAUAGAAAGACUUGUUAGAACAGAAAAACUUCCUCCAUUAGAGUUCUCAGAAAUAGAGCAAUGCGUAGAUUGCAUUAAAGGAAAGUAUGUAAAGCAAAUAAAAAAGGGUGCAAUACGUAGCAUCAGCACACUCGAAAUUAUUCACACUGACAUUUGUGGACCAUUUCCUGUGAAAAGUGUGGUUAUGAUUCAUUCAUAACAUUCACAGAAGACUACUCCUGUUAUGGUUACAUUUAUCCAAUAAAAGAAAGGUCAGAAGCAUUGGACAAAUUUAAAAUAUUCAAGGCUGAAGUUGAAAAUCAGCAAGAUAAAAAGAUAAAGGUAGUAAGAUCCGACCGUGGGGGGAGUACUACGGUCGGCAGACCCCAUAUGGCCAAGUCCCUGGUCCUUUUGCAAGGUUCCUACAGGAGACUGGAAUAGUUGCCCAGUAUUCAAUGCCGGGUGAGUCUCAGCAAAAUGGAGUAACUAAAAGUCGUAACCGUACCCUUAUGGAUAUGGUGCGCAGUAUGAUGAGUUAUUCCACAUUACCAUUGGGAUUGUGGAUGGAGGCAUUAAAAACCGCCAUUCACAUUCUCAAUAGAGUGCCAUGCAAGUCGGUGCCCAAAACACCGUACGAGCUGUGGACAGGAAGAGUGCACUCUUUACAACACCUGCGGGUGUGGGGGAGCCCAGUUGAGGCCAAAAUGUUUAACCCAAAUAUUGCAAAGUUGGAUACCAAGACAGUUUAGUUACCAUUUCAUUGGCUACCCUAAAAGAUCAAAAGGUUUUCGUUUCUACUGUCCAGACAGAUACACAAAGUUUGUGGAAACGAGACACACCAUCUUCUUAGAGGACGAAAUGAUGAGGGGGAGCACGGUAGCUCGGAAAGUUGAUCUUGAGGAUAAGAGGGUGCAUGCACCUAAUCCGAUGACUCAAGAGCCAUUCUUUUCAGUACUUGUUGUUGCCGCACCGACAAUCCCUGAGAUUGUGGUGCCGACACAUGUUGCGACUCCACACAUGGCAACAAUGAGUGAAGGUCCGGAACCUGUCCUUCAGGAGCCAACUCAACCCAUUGUUGCACAUGAAAGGGAGCUGCAGCAGCCCGAACAGGCGCCACAUGUAGAGACACAGAACGUGCCAGAAAAUGAGGCCCCUAGAAGGUCUCAAAGAGUUAAAAAGUCAGCAAUUCCAAAAGAUUAUAAAGUUUAUAAUAUAGAAAGAGUUCAUAUGGAGAAUGAUCCCACUUCAUAUGAAGAAGCCAUGAGUGGUUCUCACUCAUCGAAGUGGCUGGAGGCCAUGGAAGAUGAGAUGAGAUCGAUGAGUUCUAACGAAGUUUGGGACUUACAGGAAAUUCCUAAAGGAGCCAAAACGGUAGGCUGUAAAUGGGUCUACAAAACCAAAUAUGACUCUAGAGAGAAUAUAGAAAAAUACAAAGCACAACUCGUGGCAAAAGGAUUUACACAAAGAGAAGGAGUAGAUUACAAUGAGACAUUUUCACCGGUCUCAUGCAAAGAUUCCUUCAGAAUAAUAAUAGCACUAGUGGCGCAUUUUGAUUUAGAGUUACAUCAGAUGGAUGUAAAGACGGCAUUUCUAAAUGGGGAUUUAGAAGAAAAGAUCUACAUGAAACAACCCAAGGGUUUUAUCAUGGAAGGUAAGGAAAACAUGGGAUGGCGCCUAAAGAAAUCCAUUUAUAGAUUAAAGCUAGCAUCUAGACAGUGGUAUCUAAAGUUUAAUGAGACCAUUAAGAAAUUUGGGUUUAAAAAGAAUGUUGAGGACAAUUGUGUUUAUGCAAAGUUUAAAAGUGGAAAAAUACAUUUUCCUAAUCUUGUAUGUGGAUGAUAUCUGGCUUGCUAGCAGUGAUGUCAGUCUACUACUAGAAACAAAGAAGUUUUUGUCCCCAAAUUUUGAUAUGAAAGAUCUUGGUGAAGCGUCAUAUAUCUUGGGCAUAGAAAUUCACCGAGAUAGGAAAAAUGGGGUUUUAGGACUAUCGCAAAAGUCAUAUUUAGAAAAGAUUUUAAAGAAAUACAAUAUGUAUGCGAGCAAUGCCACACCUGCUCCUAUAGUCAAGGGAGACAGUUUCGGGAAACUUCAAUGUCCCAAAAGUCAAUACGAGAUCGAUCAAAUGAAAGCGGUUCCAUAUGCUUCAGCCGUUGGAAGCCUACAAUAUGCACAAGUGUGCACUCGCCCUGACUUAGGUUUUAUCACCGGAGUACUUGGUAGAUAUCAAGAAAAUCCAGGCAUAGAGCAUAGGAAAAUGGUAAAGAAAGCAUUGCGUUAAGCACAAGGCACAAAAGACCUCAUGCUAACAUAUAGAAGAUCUGAUUCCCUAGAGAUAAAAGGGUAUUCAGAUGCAGAUUUUGCGGGAGAUAAAGAUGAUAGAAAAUCCACGUCUGGAUAUGUAUUCACUCUCGCAGGCGGGGCUAUUUCGUGGAGAAGCUCCAAACAGUCAAUAGUUGCAUCUUCCACGAUGUAUGCAGAAUUUGUAGCAUGUUAUGAGGCCACGGGGCAGGCGAUAUGGUUAAAGAAACUUAUACCCAACUUGAAAGUAGUGGAUUGUAUUGACAAACCACUAAAGAUGUACUGCGACAAUCAGCCCGCAGUGUUUUAUACUCACAACAACAAGUCGAGUAAUGCUACCAAACCAAUAGAGAUAAAGUAUUAUGUUGUGAAAGAUAAAAUCCAGAAUCACACUAUAAGUCUCGAGCAUAUAAAGACAAAGGAUAUGCUUGUGGAUCCGCUUACCAAAGGCCUACCACCCAGUGUGUUCAAGGAACACUUAGCCGGCUUGGGUUUAAGGGAAAGCCUAUGAUUCCUGGGUAAAGAUUGGCCCGAAAACAGAAUUUGUUUCAACAUGGAAAGGUAUGUUGUAGCUGUCUGAUUCUAUCGGCAAUUGAGUUGAGACGAUGAAACAUGCUCUACGUACUAAUCGGUGGUGAAAUGAGUAAAGCAAAAGGAAUACAGUUAAAAGAAAGUUAAGAUCAAGGGGGAGAAUGUUAGAGUGAUCUCCCAGCCGUGUGGGCCCAACGGCCCAUCGGGCCUAGAUCUGACGCGCCCUGAUCGGGGGCGCCCAACCCAAUAUGGUUGGCGGGCCCCUGUCGCGCUGCGCUAUAUAAAGAGGUGGGGGGCGGGGCACGCACUACGAGGUUAACUGCGUAGCCAAACUCCCCACUAACAAUCCCUUCCGAUCUAGGGUUGCGCAGAGGCGACGGGAAGCUCCGUCCACGCCGUCGCCCCGCCGUCUCUCCCUCACCGUCGCUCCCUCACCAUUGACAUGGCCGGUCAGUCAAGUGCGUCGUCGUCCCAAGGUGAAGGUACACAUCCCUUCUCUCUCUCUCUAGCCCCAUAUCCGCAUGCCAUGUUGAUUCCCAGAACAGCAAUCACCGAUGGAUUUACACCUAGAUGAUCUUACGGUCUUAACAUUUAUUCCUUUAUUUGUUUGUCAGCUUCAAUGCCAUUUUGUGAUGUCGGAAUCAAUGUUCCAAUACAUGUUCCUGCCAAAUGUGAAGUUGAUUUUAUGAUUGUAUCCAUAUGAGUCCAUUCCAUUUGCACUGUAUUUAACAUGUAUUUUCCGCAUAAAAACAUAUUUGAUUUCGUUUGAAAACUAGCACUCUGGCCUGAAUUUGAGAGGGCAUCAUCUCAAAUUUUUGUAUUUGAUCUUUUUCGAGAAGGAGAAUAACCCUCGCUUCUGCAUUAAUUGGUCGACCAUAUAUUACUCAUUAGAAACAAGAACAGGGUCGUACCCAGAAAUUUGAGGGCCCUGUGAUAGCCUCGAGGGUGUCCCGAUCUUUCGAUGAGAUACCUAAUUAUCGAUUUGGUAGGAGGUGACGUUGACGAUCCGACUACAACCUAGGAGGCAGCGCCUUAGCGAUCGAUACACCAACUCCAGAAGGUUAUUGAUCCCGGGGGGGCACGAUCAAUCUGACCACGAAGGUCUUUGUUCCUACAAGCAAUCGAAGAACAAGCAAGAACAAGAUGAAAAGCAAUCUGAAAUUGCGAAUAGGAGAUAUGAAGGUUCACGAAUCUGAAUAUUCAAUAUAGUUGGAGUCUUGAUGACGGUAAAACAGGUGGUCUAACCGAUACACGCGAUUACACGAAAGUAGCAAAGGCUAAACUUUAUCUAAUCAAAACCCAAGGCUCCAUGGGGGGGCUCAUGGGGUAUAAAUAGGAGGGGAACUAGGUGGUUUUCGGACAGGCCCUUGAGGGACUCCGAAACGGCCUAGGACUCCUCCUAAAACACAACGAAAACAUCUAAAAAUUGACUGGACCCUAUUACAUGGCCUUAGGCCCAAUAAAGCAAGGUUAUAACUCUCAUCUUUGGCCCAUAGAUACCCAUUGGAGGGGCAAUCCUCUACUUGGCCGAAAUCACAUUGAUGAAGAGGAUGCGGCCUUCUUCUCAUCUCUCGUUAUGGCGGUUUCAAUGUUUUGAAAUCAUCACUUGAGCUAGCUCCCGCCACCUUGCUGCCACCUCCAUGGUUUGCUGUCCAACGCUGAUCCUUGAGGUGCAAGCUAGGUCCUUCAUUCCUAAAACACAUAAAAGAACCCAUCUUAGGCAGCAGCAUAUUCUCAUUAAUAUUAAAUGAAAUACCGAGGAACGAAAGUACCUGAUAAUUUAGUUGUCGUGCACGAGCUCUAGUAAUUGGUCCAUGUAUCUCCGGUACUUGAGGUGUAGGUGCUGUACGGGCUGUGAUUGUAUCAUUACUUGGGAUGUCCUCAUCAUCCUCCCCUUCUUGAAUCGAAGUCGUUCUCGACGGUAGUUCAUCUUCUUCUCCCAAAUAAGGCUUCAAAUCUGCAAUAUUAAACGUGGAACUAACCCCAAAAUCUGCAGGUAGCUCAAGUUUAUAUUCAUUAUCAUUAAUUUUUGCUAACACCUUAAAGGGACCAUCAGCUCGUGGCAUUAACUUAGACUUGCGCAAAUCAGGGAAACGAUCUUUGCGCAAAUGCAACCAAACAAGAUCUCCAGGUUCAAACACAAUUUGUUUUCUGCCCCUAUCUCCCGCAAGUUUAUACUUAGAAUUCAUGCGCUCAAUGUUCUCUUUAGUCGUCUCAUGCAUUUUUAUUAUAAGUUCAGCACGUUCCUUAGCAUCAAAGUUAACUUUUUCAGAAGUUGGCAAAGGUAACAAAUCAAUUGGUGCACGAGGUAUAAAACCAUAAACAAUUUCAAAAGGGCACAAUUUUGUGGUUGAAUGCAGUGAACGAUUAUAAGCAAAUUCAAUAUGAGGUAAACAUUCUUCCCACAUUUUCAAGUUCUUCUUUAAAACAGCCCUAAGCAUCGUAGAUAAUGUUCUAUUAACAACUUCAGUUUGUCCAUCUAUUUGGGGAUGACAUGUAGUACUGAAAAGCAAUUUAGUCCCCAACUUAGCCCAUAAACAUCUCCAAAAGUGGCUAAGAAAUUUUGUGUCACGAUCUGAAACUAUAGUAUUGGGCACACCAUGCAAGCGAACAAUUUCACGAAAGAAUAAAUCAGCAACAUUUGUAGCAUCAUCGCUCUUAUGACAAGGUAUAAAAUGUGCCAUCUUAGAAAAUCUAUCAACAACAACAAAUAUGCUAUCCCUCCCCUUCUUAGUUCGAGGCAAUCCCAAAACAAAAUCCAUUGAUAUAUCUUCCCAAGGAACAUUAGGAACAGGGAGAGGCAUAUAUAAACCAUGAGGAUUGAGUCGUGACUUAGCUUUUUGACAUGUAGUGCAGCGAGCGAUAAAUCUCUCAACAUCCCGUCUCAUCCGAGGCCAAAAGAAAUGAUCAGCGAGCACAUCUUCGGUCUUCUUCACGCCGAAGUGACCCAUCAACCCUCCUCCAUGUGCCUCCUGUAACAACAAAAGACGAACGGAGCUAUCUGGGAUGCAUAGCUUGUUAGCACGGAACACAAAUCCAUCAUUAAUGACGAACUUGUUCCAUGUUCUGCCCUCUUUACAAUGCUGCAAAACAUCCUUAAAAUCUGCAUCAUGUUCAUAUUGUUCUUUUAUAGUCUCCAAUCCAAAUAUCCGAAAAUCAAGCUGAGAUAACAAGGUAUAACGACGUGAUAACGCAUCAGCAAUAACAUUAUCUUUACCCUUCUUAUGUUUAAUAACAUACAGAAAAGACUCAAUAAAUUCAACCCAUUUAGCAUGACGACGGUUCAGCUUUGCUUGACUACGAAUAUGCUUCAAAGAUUCAUGAUCAGAAUGUAUAACAAAUUCUUUGGGCCAUAAAUAAUGUUGCCAUGUUUCUAAAGUCCGAACGAGAGCAUAUAAUUCCUUAUCAUAAGUAGAAUAAUUCAGACUAGGCCCACUCAAUUUUUCACUAAAGUAUGCAACAGGUUUUCCGUCUUGUAACAACACACCUCCUAAACCGACUCCACUAGCAUCACACUCCAACUCAAAAGUCUUAUUAAAAUCAGGAAGUUGGAGUAAAGGAGCAUGUGUCAACUUAUCUUUCAAUAUGAGAAAAGCUACUUCUUGUGCAGCGCCCCAUACAUAUGGAACGUCCUUCUUUGUGAGCUCAUUAAGCGGUGCAGCAAGGGUGCUGAAAUCCUUUACAAAGCGGCGAUAAAACCCAGCGAGUCCAAGAAAGCUCCUCACUUGGGUGACCGUUGUUGGAGUUGGCCAGCUUUGAAUAGCGUCGAUCUUGGCCUUACCAACUUCUAUGCCCUGUGGAGUGACAACAUAGCCAAGAAACGAAACUCGAUCGGUGCAAAAGGUGCACUUCUCAAGGUUACCAAACAAACGUGCAUCUCUCAAAGCAUCAAAAACAGCACGUAAAUGAUUCAAGUGGUCUUCUAAAGAGCUGCUGUAAAUCAAUAUAUCAUCAAAAUAAACCACCACAAAUCGUCCUAUGAAAGCACGUAAAACUUCGUUCAUUAACCGCAUGAAAGUGCUAGGUGCGUUAGUAAGACCGAAAGGCAUGACUAACCACUCAUAUAGUCCAAACUUAGUUUUAAAUGUUGUUUUCCAUUCAUCGCCUAAUUUCAUUCGAAUUUGGUGGUAACCACUACGUAAAUCAACUUUAGAGAACACGGUAGAGCCACUUAAUUCAUCUAACAUAUCAUCAAGUCUAGGAAUUGGGUGACGAUAGCGAAUAGUAAUGUUAUUAAUAGCUCUACAAAUCUACACACAUACGCCAAGAACCAUCUUUCUUUGGUACCAAAAUAACAGGAACAGCACAAGGACUAAGGGAUUCACGAACAUAACCUUUGUCGAGCAAUUCUUGAACUUGUCGUUGAAUCUCCUUCGUCUCCUCUGGAUUGGUACGGUAGGGCGCACGGUUGGGCAGCGAAGCACCAGGAAUUAAAUCAAUUUGAUGUUCAAUCCCUCGAAUAGGUGGUAAUCCUGGUGGUACGUCUUGUGGAAAGACGUCGGAAUACUCCUGCAAAACGUGAGUAACAGCAGGGGGCAAAGAGGGAGGCAUAUCCUCAAAUGAAAACAAAGCCUCUUUGCAAAUGAAUGCAUAGCAAACAGAAUUAUUCGUAUCUAACUCAAAAAUAUCGGAUUUACUUGCAAGCAAGCAUGCACCUUUCAAUUUAAUUUCAUUAACAUGUUUUGGUUCAGAUUUGCUAGUAGACGCUUGGUGCUUAAAUUCUUUAGCGACAUUCUGGUUCUCACUCUUAUCCUUCUCUUUGCUCUUUGCUCUACUAGCUCUAGCAAGAUCAUCUUUCACAAUUUGUUCAGGAGUCAUAGGUUUCAAACCAAUUUUCUUACCGGCAUGCAUAAAAGAAUAAUGAU
rnacentral:lncRNA from 1 species